GGAGGGAUGGCAGAGCGGUUGAAUGCACCGGUCUUGAAAACCGGCGUGGCAGCAAUGCCACCGUGGGUUCGAAUCCCACUCCCUCCGCCA
rnacentral:tRNA from 1 species